GCGGUAAUACGAAGGGUGCAAGCGUUACUCGGAAUUACUGGGCGUAAAGCGUGCGUAGGUGGUUGUUUAAGUCUGUUGUGAAAGCCCUGGGCUCAACCUGGGAACUGCAGUGGAAACUGGACAACUAGAGUGUGGUAGAGGGUAGCGGAAUUCCCGGUGUAGCAGUGAAAUGCGUAGAGAUCGGGAGGAACAUCCAUGGCGAAGGCAGCUACCUGGACCAACACUGACACUGAGGCACGAAAGCGUGGGGAGCAAACAGGAUUA
rnacentral:rRNA from 2 species